UGGGGAAUAUUGCACAAUGGGCGCAAGCCUGAUGCAGCCAUGCCGCGUGUAUGAAGAAGGCCUUCGGGUUGUAAAGUACUUUCAGUCGGGAGGAAGGUGGUAAGGUUAAUAACCUUAUCAAUUGACGUUACCGACAGAAGAAGCACCGGCUAACUCCGUGCCAGCAGCCGCGGUAAUACGGAGGGUGCAAGCUUUAAUCGGAAUUACUGGGCGUAAAGCGCACGCAGGCGGUUGAUUGAGUCAGAUGUGAAAUCCCCGGGCUUAACCCGGGAAUUGCAUCUGAUACUGGUCAGCUAGAGUCUUGUAGAGGGGGGUAGAAUUCCAUGUGUAGAGGUGAAAUGCGUAGAGAUGUGGAGGAAUACCGGUGGCGAAGGCGGCCCCCUGGACAAAGACUGACGCUCAGGUGCGAAAGCGUGGGGAGCAAAAAGG
rnacentral:rRNA from 1 species